rnacentral:rRNA from 1 species
GAUGAACGCUGGCGGCGUGCCUAAUACAUGCAAGUCGAGCGGCAGCACGGUCUUCGGACUGGUGGCGAGCGGCGGACGGCUGAGUAACGCGUAGGAACAUGCCCUAAAGUGAGGAAUAACUGCCCGAAAGGGUGGCUAAUGCCGCAUGUGCUCUUCGGAGUAAAGCUUUAUGCGCUUUAGGAGUGGCCUGCGUCCGAUUAGCUAGUUGGUGAGGUAAAUGCUCACCAAGGCGACGAUCGGUAGCUGGUCUGAGAGGAUGAUCAGCCAGACUGGAACUGAGAACGGUCCAGACUCCUACGGGAGGCAGCAGUAGGGAAUUUUCCACAAUGGGCGAGAGCUUGAUGGAGCAACGCCGCGUGCAGGAUGAAUGCCUUCGGGUUGUAAACUGCUUUUAUGUGCGAAGAAUCUGACUGUAACACAUGAAUAAGGAUCGGCUAACUACGUGCCAGCAGCCGCGGUAA